AUUGAACGCUGGCGGCAAGCCUAACACAUGCAAGUCGAACGAGUGGCGGACGGGUGAGUAAUGUAUGGGAAACUGCCUGAUGGAGGGGGAUAAAUACUGGAAACGGUAGCUAAUACCGCAUACCAUCGGAUGUGCCCAGAUGGGAUUAGCUAGUAGGUGGGGUAAAGGUUCACCUAGGCGACGAUCCCUAGCUGGUCUGAGAGGCUGAAAAGCCACACUGGAACUUCGACACGGUCCAGACUCCUACGGGAGGCAGCAGUGGGGAAUAGUGCACAAUGGGCGCAAGCAGGAUGCAGCCAUGCCGCGUGUAUGAAGAAGGCCUUCGGGUUGUAAAGUACUUUCAGCGGGGAGGCGUUACCCGCAGAAGAAGCCCCGGCGAACUCCGUGCCAGCAGCCGCGGUAACUC
rnacentral:rRNA from 1 species